rnacentral:rRNA from 1 species
UACGUAGGAGGCAAGCGUUGUCCGGAAUUAUUGGGCGUAAAGCGCGCGCAGGCGGCCUCUUAAGUCUGAUGUGAAAUCUUGCGGCUCAACCGCAAGCGGCCAUUGGAAACUGGGGGGCUUGAGUACAGAAGAGGAGAGUGGAAUUCCACGUGUAGCGGUGAAAUGCGUAGAUAUCGGGAGGAACACCAGUGGCGAAGGCGACUUUCUGGGCUGUUCCUGACGCUGAGGCGCGAAAGCGUGGGGAGCAAACAGG